rnacentral:lncRNA from 1 species
GAAUGUUAAUUAUAACUCUGAAGAAAAACAUAUAGGAUAAUAGGCGAUUAAAAGUACGUAAGGGGCAGUAAAAACACUACACUAGACAUAUGAAUAAUGAUCCAUGCACGGUCAUUCAAUUUAUUAGCAAAAGCAACCAUGUGGAUACAGGGCCAUAUCAAUCCAUCGCAUUACACAAGCACGGUUUCUACACAGAUUACGUUUAUUUUUAACAAAUUAAUUAGCACUUUUUGGUGCACACGCAUGUACGGGUCAAGCCACUACAUUUGCCUCUGGUGAAUUGCUCUUUUCUGCAGGUGUGUUUACAAUUGUUGGACGAAAAGCACAACCCUUUGAACAAGGUGCUCGGAACCUCGCAAAUCUUUCCCUCAAUUGCCUUGCUUGACUCAGUCCUUGCCUCAACACUCAUUGGCCCCAUCUCUAAAGAUCAAAAUUUUUUUUGUUAAAAAAGAUGCUUUAUUCGAAACAUCAUAAAAAAUUAAUGAUUAAAAGGAGGUAUAAUUACCGGUAGCAGCAAAAAACAUGACAAGAAUGAAGGCGGCUGAAACCAGACGCAUUGAACGCUCCAUUUGAAUCUGUGUGUUUGUGACUUGAACUGUGUGUUUCUGUGUGUGUGCUUGUGUGUGAUAAGAGAGAUCUUAGACGCUGAUGCAAAGAACAAUAACCAUGGAAGGCUUUUUAUAUAAGGAUGUAGCGCAACUUAAAGAGGAUCGGUCAGCGUAAAGCGAGGUUGCUCCACACCCAAAAUACAAAGUUGAAAUUUCCAACCUAAGAGGCACCGUAAACAAAAUUUCUAUUUUUGAUGACUAAGUUAUCCGCCAUACAUUUUUCUAUGCAUAUUAGGGUUUCUUUUUCGAGCACAUUUAACUUUUGCUUUUAAAAGAAUAUUUGGGUUUUAACUUUUAAGCAAAUUUGACUUAUUAUUCACAUUUUUAUAUGUAAAUGAAGCGGCAUAUAUAUAUCUCACAUAAAACACCAUAGUUCUUAUCAUGAUUUGCACAUUAGGUGUAGACGAAGAUUAUGUUGCUUUCGGUAACGUGGUUAAGCCUAAUAAAAAGGGAACUUUAACGAAAAACACCCGGUACUGUUCACUUUAACGAAAAACUACAUUUUUACACUAAAAAGUCAAUCAUGGUACUAUUCACUUUACCCUUUAUUUUGUCCUUAUCAUUAAAACUCAAAGUUUUCAAGCCCUUUUCAUUAGUUUUCCUUAAUAUGUUAAAGUAGAACCUUGAGGAAAUGAUGGUUAAUUGUAUUUUGUAGGGCAUUACAAGGAAUUAAAUUUGUUGAUAAAUAAGAAGUUACACAGUACGACAUACUGUACGAAGUAACUCAUGACGGUGAUACUUAAUAAACAAAAAUAUUGUCCGUUUAUCGUACAUCGUGCAGUCAGUUUUUAUUAAGUACUAUUUAUGUUUAUUGUUAAAUAAAAAUAUUUAAAAUAAUUUCUGACCGCACAAUGUACGAUGAACAGACACGAAAAACCAUAACAGAGAUACGAUAUUAAUUAAUAACCCAACAGUGAAUUAUUCCAGCUAGUUCCACACUAGCACCAAAGUACAUGCGUCCAUGCACCCACUAAUAAUUAAGUGAUAAGUGAUCAGCCCAUCACUAGCUUAAUUAAUUAGCCAAUUAACUAUUUUUUUGUGCAAAAGCAUCUGCGGCAUAAACCCAAGAACCAGCCACUAGGGAAGCCCUUAGUUUGACAAACAACUACACAAUUACUUUUACUCACGCAAGUUCCAUUGACGCGGUUACUCUGAAACUCGCAGGUCCUACCCUCACCAACUGUCGUCCAUUUAAACAAUUAUUUCAAACAAAAUAAGGUUACUAUGCAUGCUUAUAAUCGUAAUAUAUAUAUAUAUAUAUAUAUAUAUAUAUAUAUAUUAACGAUGAAGAUAGUUAACAAGAUCGAGCAAGAAGAAAUACUACCGCUUGCAACCAAAAGUAGCAGGUAGAAGCAGAUAGUUGGGAGAAAACGCAUGGAACGCUCUUUAUGUGUAUAUAACUAGUUUACACUUAAGAUUUCGAACUUAGGGUAACUUAGAAUGACACCAUUGAUAUAUAUAUAUAUAUAUAUAUAAGCUCUUAUAAAUUCAAACAAUAGCAAUAUAUCAGGGAUGAAGUCUGAGAUCUAUAUGAAUUGGGACAUCCUAAAAAAUAGUCAUACAUUAAAAAGCUUAAGAAUUACAAUAUCACACAACGCAUUUUUAAGUUUUGAAAGCAUUGCAUAACAAUUUUAUUACCAAUACCAUCAAAUAUUUGUUCCUAUAAAAAUUACAAUGUUAUCAUUCAUCCACCAAUGUUUUUACAAUCUCUCAAUUGAUCAUUUAGAAAUUUCAUAACCGAAAAUGUUCUAUUAUGUGAAAUUAUAAUAUGCAAUAUAUACAAUUAUUGCAUCAGCCCCUUGGGCCCAAGGUGGCUCCGUUCCUGGCAAUACCACACAUACUAUGCAGAAAAGUGAGGGAAAAAUAUUAAAGUGCUUUAGGAAAAAAAAUAUGGAAGAGUCUUUUAAAAUGUUACCAAGAAAAUAUCAAUCCUUAAGGACAAUUUCCUCUAAAAUAAAAUAAAAUAAAAAUAAACAAUUAAGUCUUUGCUAAAAAGUUGCUUAAGCAAUUUCGAACCUUUUCCUAAUUUUUGUUUUCUCGUGCAUCAACCUCACCUUGUUUUACAUAUAUUACUACUGGUUUAAAAGUCAAAAGAAUAUAAUACAACAGAACGUGUGGAUAGAAAAGUACAUCUGAAAUCGACAAUUCAUGCGACUUAAAUAAUCUUUGUGACACAAAUUAAAGUAAUGUGUUGAAUAUAAGUACACUAAGUGAAAAUUUUAAACAAAAUGCCUUGUCAAAACGGAAAAAAAAAAUUGUUAUUAGCAUUUGACUAUAAUUAUCCAUCACUCUUUCUUUAUUGAAAGUCAAUAAACGAAAGAAGAGUAUGUGGUGACUAUCUAGAAUGUUAAUAAUAACCCUAAAGAAAAACAUACAAGAUAAUAGGCGAUAGUAGGCGAUUAAAAGUACAUAAGGCGCGGUGAAAACACUACACUAGACAUAUGAAUAAUGAUCCAUGCAGGGUCAUUCAAUUUAUUAGCAAAAGCAACCAUGUGGAUACAGGGUCAAAUCAAUUCAUAGCAUUACACAAGCACGGUCUCUACAGAGAUUACAUUUCUUUUUAACUAAUUAAUUAACACUUUUUGGUGCACAUGCAUGUACGGGUCAAGCCACUACAUUUGCCUCUGGUGAAUUGCUCCUUUCUGCAGGUGUGUUUACAGUUGUUAGAGGAAAAGCACAACCCCUUGAACAAGGUGCUCGGAACCUCACAAAUCUUUCCCUCAACUGCCUUGCUUGACUCAGUCCUUGCCUCAACACUCAUUGGCCCCAUCUCUAAUGAUCAAAUAUUUUUUGUUGAAUAAGAUGCUUUAUUCAAAACAUCAUAAAAAUUUAAUUAUUAAAAAGAGGUAUAAUUACCGGUUGUGGCCAAAAGCAUAACAACAACGAAGGCGGCUGAAACAAGACGCAUUGAACGCUCCAUUUGAAUCUGCGUGUAUGUAAGUAUGUGCUUGAUCCGCGUGUUUCUGUGUGUGUGCUUGUGUGUGAUAAGAGAGAUCUUAGACGCUGAUAGAAAAAAAAAUAACCAUGGAAGGCUUUUUAUAUAGGGGUCUAGCGCAUAUUAAAGAGGAUCUGUCUCCAUAAAGCGAGGUAGCUCCACACCCAAAAUACAAAGUUGAAAUUUCC